GACGAACGCUGGCGGCGUGCUUAACACAUGCAAGUCGAACGCUGAAGCUCAGCUUUUGUUGGGUGGAUGAGUGGCGAACGGGUGAGUAACACGUGAGUAACCUGCCCCCUUCUUUGGGAUAACGCCCGGAAACGGGUGCUAAUACUGGAUAUUCACUGGUCUUCGCAUGGGGGUUGGUGGAAAGGGUUUUUCUGGUGGGGGAUGGGCUCGCGGCCUAUCAGCUUGUUGGUGGGGUGAUGGCCUACCAAGGCUUUGACGGGUAGCCGGCCUGAGAGGGUGACCGGUCACAUUGGGACUGAGAUACGGCCCAGACUCCUACGGGAGGCAGCAGUGGGGAAUAAUGCACAAUGGGCGCAAGACUGAUGCAGCGACGCCGCGUGAGGGAUGGAGGCCUUCGGGUUGUGAACCUCUUUCGCUCAUGGUCAAGCCGCAACAAUGGUUGUGGUGAGGGUAGUGGGUAAAGAAGCGCCGGCUAACUACGUG
rnacentral:rRNA from 1 species